UAAUAAUUUAACGAAAAAGCUCAUAUAUACCCCGAAUAUGGCGGGAAGUUUCUACCAAAAACCGUAAAUUUUUGACUAUGAGUGAAAGAGAAUAUAUA
rnacentral:ncRNA from 2 species